rnacentral:tmRNA from 1 species
GGGGGUGAAAGGUCUCGACAUGCUCUAGUGAUUGAGGAGCAGCAUGCAGAGGAUUCAGGUGGCCUCUUUAAAAACCUGAAAAAACAAUUAAACGCAGAAUAUAAUCCAGUAACAGAAGCCGAGUCUAUCUUGGCCCAGGAUGCGUUAGAAGUUCCCACAAUGCUGGGAACGAGCUCUUUAGUAAGCGCUCUGGCUUACUAAUCUAGCUUAACUAAGCAGAGACUCUUGAAGUGAUAUCUCCUGACUUCGAGAGUAUUAGGAGGUUGCUCUUAUCAAUAUCCCGUUUAUCGGAUAUUUUUAAGAAAAGACUAAAGGUAAACUAAGCAUGUAGAUACUCUUGAGUCUCAGUUCAUGGACCCGGGUUCGAAUCCCGGCACCUCCACCA